rnacentral:rRNA from 1 species
UAACCUGCCUCUUAGCGGGGGAUAACUAUUGGAAACGAUAGCUAAUACCGCAUAAAAGUCGACAUUGCAUGAUGUUGACUUGAAAGGUGCAAUUGCAUCACUAAGAGAUGGACCUGCGUUGUAUUAGCUAGUUGGUGAGGUAACGGCUCACCAAGGCGACGAUACAUAGCCGACCUGAGAGGGUGAUCGGCCACACUGGGGCUGAGACACGGCCCAG